GACGAACGCUGGCGGCGUGCCUAAUACAUGCAAGUCGAACGCACUCUCGUUUAGAUUGAAGGAGCUUGCUCCUGAUUGAUAAACAUUUGAGUGAGUGGCGGACGGGUGAGUAACACGUGGGUAACCUGCCCUAAAGUGGGGGAUAACAUUUGGAAACAGAUGCUAAUACCGCAUAAAACCUAACACCGCAUGGUGUAGGGUUGAAAGAUGGUUUCGGCUAUCACUUUAGGAUGGACCCGCGGUGCAUUAGUUAGUUGGUGAGGUAAAGGCUCACCAAGACCGUGAUGCAUAGCCGACCUGAGAGGGUAAUCGGCCACACUGGGACUGAGACACGGCCCAGACUCCUACGGGAGGCAGCAGUAGGGAAUCUUCCACAAUGGACGAAAGUCUGAUGGAGCAACGCCGCGUGAGUGAAGAAGGUUUUCGGAUCGUAAAACUCUGUUGUUGGAGAAGAAUGUAUCUGAUAGUAACUGAUCAGGUAGUGACGGUAUCCAACCAGAAAGCCAACGG
rnacentral:rRNA from 1 species